rnacentral:rRNA from 1 species
GUGGGGAAUAUUGGACAAUGGGCGAAAGCCUGAUCCAGCCAUGCCGCGUGUGUGAAGAAGGUCUUCGGAUUGUAAAGCACUUUAAGUUGGGAGGAAGGGCAGUAAGUUAAUACCUUGCUGUUUUGACGUUACCGACAGAAUAAGCACCGGCUAACUUCGUGCCAGCAGCCGCGGUAAUACGAAGGGUGCAAGCGUUAAUCGGAAUUACUGGGCGUAAAGCGCGCGUAGGUGGUUUUGUAAGUUGGAGGUGAAAUCCCCGGGCUCAACCUGGGAACUGCAUCCAAAACUGCAUGACUAGAGUACGGUAGAGGGUAGUGGAAUUUCCUGUGUAGCGGUGAAAUGCGUAGAUAUAGGAAGGAACACCAGUGGCGAAGGCGACUACCUGGACUGAUACUGACACUGAGGUGCGAAAGCGUGGAGAGCAAACAGGAUUAGAUACCCCGGUAGUCC